ACCAGGCCCGGCUCCCAGACCUGAUGUCCAGCUGGCUCUAGAGAAGCUCUUCCAAUGUUAAAGCUCAAGGUCAAAGAAAAGAGAAGCUUCUGAUACAAACUCCUUCUGCCGGGAUUCUCCCCAACAAAGAAGCGCUCUAUCUCUGGGUGUUGAGUUUUAGGACUAAAGUGAACACCAAGACUUCAAGUGGAGACAUGUAUUUGAAAAUAAGCUUUGCCAGUGAUUAUAGUAGAGACUGUGGACACCAAGCUGGGCAAGAGAAAAGAAUCCCAAUGGUGAGAAGAAAAGCCAGUGCUCAGCCAUGAAGCUCACUGGUCUGUUGGAAUCGGCCUCAUCAGGAAGAGCAGCUGAGAUGGGGACGCGCGGAGGCAUGAGGGACCCACAGGGCAAAGCCAUGCUGUGGGAUUCCCUCCAGUAUAAGAUUAUUACACAGGCCAUCUUAACUGUCAAA